AAAUUCUAAAAAAAAUUAGAAAAAGAAAAGAAAAACCGAAAUUCUCCCCCUCCUCCUCACUGCAACUCUCCCCCUCCUACCCUUAUGAACCCUUUCCCUUCCUUCCACUCCGUUCAUCCAUCAUCCCCCUCUGUUCCCCUGCCCCUCCCUCUUCUCUCCUAUCAGCCUCUCUCUCUCUCUCUCUCUCUCUCUCUUCCCCAGCUCCUCCUCCCCUCAACGAACAACCCGAGAUCCAUCCGCCCCAACCCUUGCAAACCAUCUUCGACGCCACCUUCGAUCCAGUGUCCACUCCACUCCACCCUCAAUUACCCACUCCCCAAGCCCAGUGAAUGACGAAAUACAAAUGCAGAUUCAUUGGGGUUUUGUCAUUUCUAUAAUUAAUGAGGGAUUUGGCUUGCAAUUUUUUCUAGAGUUUUUCUAUUUAAACCCCACACUUUUCUGUGUUUACCCCAAUACUUAAAUCAUUAAGAUAUUAAAUUUUAUUAUAGUGUAAAAAGACAAAAAAAUCAACCAACUUAAUAUUUAACCCUAGUGCACACCCCACCGGGAACAAGUUCAAGUGCAUGGCUCAAUAUCCCACUGCGCACCACCCAAUAAUCGCCUAAAUUAGUCUUUAGCUACUGAAACUUUAUCAUCGUCAUGAUCAUUGUUACCCCUAUGCAUAUGCACGAUGAUGCUACUGAAACCUUUGGACUUCGAUUUCCGAGAACCAGGUAGUGCCCAAGCCACUGGAACCCAGGCGUUGUGCGAGACGACGCUGCCACAUAGUCCUUGACGAUUCUCUUCCUCUAUUUUUUAUUUAUUUGAUGACAUUAUUAUGAGAGAGAAACAAUGCUUUAAUAAGAUUUUUCCUGAUUUACCCUUGUUCUAACCUAGCAAACUUUCCACUUUUCAAAAUUAAAUACCCAUUGGCUUUAUGUCCCGUGCUUUAAUACGAAUUGAACAUGAUCACAGAGAGGUAAAAGUUGUUAACAUCUAUGCUGCUUUAAUAUGAAUAACACCAUAAAAUUUGUUAUCCACUUUUCGGCCUCAAAUUUGUUAACAUCUAUGCAGCUUUUUUUUUUUUUUCUUUUUUUUUUUUUCGUACUCUAUAUUGCUUGAUUAUUUUUUGUACUUUGGUGAUUGCUUUGCAUUAUUUAGUACAAUAUUAUAAUUUGGCUAUAACAAAUUUGAAUAACAUCAUAAAACAUAGUUCAACGGGAAAUUAUAAUAAUUUUAUAUUAAGUCUGAAAGGUUUUCUUAAAAUAAAAUACUCCAAAGAAAAUCAUAGAGAGGUAGUUAUGUCAUGCAUUAUGUCCUAGCAUUGGACAGACGAAAAAGAACAAUUCAUGUCGUUCCUACUAUCUUUUUCUACACUGCAAAAACUUGGUCUAAGAUGUUGUUGGAUGUGAAAAACUCAGUUGAUAAGUUGGUCCUUCAGGUCUUUGUUGAAUGUUUUCCUGUAAAUUAAUCAAACAAUUAAAA
rnacentral:lncRNA from 1 species